AUGGAAGACUUGGUUAUUCGGCUAUGGCCUGCCGAGCUGAUUCCAAGCAGCUACUUCGGGCUCGUGAAGCGGCUUGUAAGCGCUUGCCCUCGACUUGACGUCAUCAAGCGGUCGAUCUGUAUAGAAGGUGCGCGAAUGGCCUUCGCCCGCGCAAAGGUGCACUGGGGGAAGAUGGAUGUUGAGAAGCUGAGGACCGAAGGGCCGCCAGAGGGAAAGGAGCACCGCAAGCCCGAAUUAUAUUAUGAGAGUGUCCUGAAAGGAUCCUACCUUGCAGCGGAGCUAUGCACCAAGGACAUUAUAUUUCCAUGA
rnacentral:rRNA from 1 species